GGAAAGGACCCAAGUGAGGGAACCGGGGAUGACAUUAAGAGACUUGAGAAGUACCCUUUAUCCUCAUUAAUCAGAACUCCUUUCUUCACACUCAGAGGCCACAUUGUCUCAACCCACCUGUUGGACAGCUGGAGGAGUGACAUCACACAGAGUCCAGACAGACCGUCCAACCAGCAGCCAGAUGAUCAGAAGGGGGAGGUGCCAGAUGAGUCUCACCUGUUCCAGUUCUUUGACUGGGAGACAGAUGCACUUCAUGCUACAGGUGUUAGCUGAGGAGAGCUAAGUCACGUAGACAACCCUCACACUGACAGUGGAACCUCGUUGGAGGCAGAGGCCCCGCCCACUAGCCCAGGUGGAAGUCUCGCUUCUGUGCACUGAUGUAGACUCACCUGUUAUUGAUCGCAUAUUGAUGAUCAUCAGUCGACAGAA